rnacentral:lncRNA from 1 species
CAACAAACCAAGGAGAAAUACCCAACAUGACACACCCUGACCAAAAAUACCCGAGUUCACCUGAUCAGGGCGUGACACAAGCGAGGUGACCAAGACAGGAACUACUGCCAUGGCAACAAGGGCCAGCUGCCACCUCUGUCUGUUUUCCUGGUCUUCACUGGUUCACUGGCUGUAAUCUUCACCUCUCUACAGGUAACACACACACACACUUAGAAAAAGGUGACAGCAGUGCUUCUCUGUUUGUAUUACUCUUAUCAAAAUAAUCCCUAUCAUUACAUCCCCUUUCAAAUCAUCUUUGUAUUUGACCCUGUUCUCUCAUUUUACUCAUACUGUCUCUCUUCCCUUUUCACUCUGUUCCUCAUCAUUUUCGUCUCUCCUCCCCUGGUCCUAUCCCUCUCUGUAGGAGACUGGAGACUAGAUCUCUGUCUCCACUCUGACCCAUGUAUGUGCCUGUCACCGCUGCAGACCUGGCUCCAGAAUAAAGUGAAAUCGGUGAGGGGGCAGUUGAAAUCGGGCACAAUUUUGGGGGAUUCUUGCAUUGGAAUUAUAUUGUUUAUUGGGGUGUAGCGUGAUAAGCGGAGUUCAAAUGCCGAGACUACGAGAACAUUGAUUGAGUGCUUUUGAAGUGACAGGGACAUACAAUUAAAACGGAGGGGGCUAAGCCCCCUUGUGGAGCUGGGUCCGCGCAGCUGCCUGCUCCUGGGGUUUCAAGACUAGCAGCACUAAAGACAAGACUGAGUAGUAGUCAACCACAUCUCAAUCCAAGGACCCACUGUUAUAGUGAAUGGUACCAAACAUUCAAUGUUACUUCAAUCAUUCCAUCGUGUGCGCAUGCUUGUUUUUAGGUGCUUUUAUGGCAACGUUUAAUCCAUAACAUUUCAGGUCACAAAAUAUAAUACUCUAACUAUAUAAACCGUAUUUGUUCCGUCAGUAAAUGCAUUGUUGCUACGAGACAAAUGUACUGCGAUUCUCAUUCAUGCCUCUAGAGAGAGACAGAGCACAAUGUUCAUGUCAUCUUGAGGAAAGCUUCUGCAGAAGUAUACUUGGGUUGUUGACUUUUCUUGUAAUUAAAACUGUUGAAUUGAUUAUCGUACUUGUCAUGUUUUUUCCAACUUCUAGGAAGAUUUUAACCCACUCAACCCUAACACUUCUCCAAGUUUAUACCAUCAUUGCAAAUCCCUAG